rnacentral:rRNA from 1 species
CAAUAGCGUAUAUUAAAGUUGUUGCGGUUAAAAAGCUCGUAGUUGGAUUUCUGUUGGGAACGACCGGUCCGCCCAUUGGGUGUGUAUCUGGCUUGUUCUCGGCAUCUUCUUGGUGAACGUUGCUGCACUUGACUGUGUGGAGCGCUACCCAGGACUUUUACUUUGAGGAAAUUAGAGUGUUUCAAGCAGGCAUAUGCCUUGAAUACAUUAGCAUGGAAUAAUAAGAUAGGACCUCGGUUCUAUUUUGUUGGUUUCUAGAGCUGAGGUAAUGAUUAAUAGGGACAAUUGGGGGCAUUCGUAUUAACGCGUCAGAGGUGGAAUUCUUGGAUUGCGUUACGACGAACUACUGCGAAAGCAUUUGCCAAGGAUGUUUUCAUUGA